rnacentral:rRNA from 1 species
AAAUUGAAGAGUUUGAUCAUGGCUCAGAUUGAACGCUGGCGGCAGGCCUAACACAUGCAAGUCGAACGGUAGCACAGAGAGCUUGCUCUCGGGUGACGAGUGGCGGACGGGUGAGUAAUGUCUGGGAAACUGCCUGAUGGAGGGGGAUAACUACUGGAAACGGUGGCUAAUACCGCAUAACGUCGCAAGACCAAAGAGGGGGACCUUCGGGCCUCUUGCCAUCAGAUGUGCCCAGAUGGGAUUAGCUUGUUGGUGAGGUAACGGCUCACCAAGGCGACGAUCCCUAGCUGGUCUGAGAGGAUGACCAGCCACACUGGAACUGAGACACGGUCCAGACUCCUACGGGAGGCAGCAGUGGGGAAUAUUGCACAAUGGGCGCAAGCCUGAUGCAGCCAUGCCGCGUGUAUGAAGAAGGCCUUCGGGUUGUAAAGUACUUUCAGCGGGGAGGAAGGUGUUGUGGUUAAUAACCGCAGCAAUUGACGUUACCCGCAGAAGAAGCACCGGCUAACUCCGUGCCAGCAGCCGCGGUAAUACGGAGGGUGCAAGCGUUAAUCGGAAUUACUGGGCGUAAAGCGCACGCAGGCGGUCUGUCAAGUCGGAUGUGAAAUCCCCGGGCUCAACCUGGGAACUGCAUUCGAAACUGGCAGGCUUGAGUCUUGUAGAGGGGGGUAGAAUUCCAGGUGUAGCGGUGAAAUGCGUAGAGAUCUGGAGGAAUACCGGUGGCGAAGGCGGCCCCCUGGACAAAGACUGACGCUCAGGUGCGAAAGCGUGGGGAGCAAACAGGAUUAGAUACCCUGGUAGUCCACGCCGUAAACGAUGUCUACUUGGAGGUUGUGCCCUUGAGGCGUGGCUUCCGGAGCUAACGCGUUAAGUAGACCGCCUGGGGAGUACGGCCGCAAGGUUAAAACUCAAAUGAAUUGACGGGGGCCCGCACAAGCGGUGGAGCAUGUGGUUUAAUUCGAUGCAACGCGAAGAACCUUACCUGGUCUUGACAUCCACAGAAGAAUCCAGAGAUGGAUUUGUGCCUUCGGGAACUGUGAGACAGGUGCUGCAUGGCUGUCGUCAGCUCGUGUUGUGAAAUGUUGGGUUAAGUCCCGCAACGAGCGCAACCCUUAUCCUUUG